UACGAUGGGCCGGUGGCGGGUCAUAGCUUUUGAUAGGGCUCAAGGCCUCCAACCCAACCUCUCUCUCAGCUAUCUAUUUAAGCGCACUCAACGUUCUCCAUUGAAGCGCAGUUCACGUUCUAAUACUUGUAUACCCCAUUGAAGCAUCUUCUGAUGCUUUUGGAAAUUGAAAUGGCAACAAGAAUGCUAAGGAAGUUGACAAUAUCACUUGGUUGUCAUCGUUUGAUUACACCAAUGUCAGGAGUAGCAAGAACCAAACAUUUUUUAUCUCAACAUCAGCAACUAGCCAAUCUGAGCAUCUUGUCAUCAUCAUCAUCACUAGAGGUGGUGGAUGGUAACAACUGUCUGCCAAAUCCGAGAAUUCCAUGGUUAAAACUCACUCCCGAACUAGAUGAGAAGACCGGGUGUGUUGUGGACUCGUUCUAUAGCCCUGUAGUGAAUCAAGUGGUGAGGCUAAAUCGAAGGGAGUGUCUUGGUGUUCCCGACACAGCUAAGUGCCUUGCAUCCAUAGGGGAAUGGUUGGCCUUUGAGGAUCCCCAGGACAAUUGUCACCCCAUCUAUCAACCAAUCCCUAUUUCAGUGAUAAGGAUAUGAAUGGCCUUUGAUUCUUCUAAGAUUUAUUGGGAAGGAAACAUUUGGCAUAACGAUCGCGGCAUCUUCAAUUUGGACAAUAACACAAUUGAGCCUAUUUCAUGUUCGUAUACUCCAACAUACCCUCUGGAUGAAGAUUUAAGGGAAAGAAAUCCCAACUGGAAAAGGGAUCAAGUGUUUUUUUGGGUUUCCCCAUCCAAAAUUCAUCUUUAAUCAGCAAAAAUCAACAUAGUCAGUUUAAAUAAUUUUAUUUUGGUGAAAAGGACUCAAGUUUCUUGUAUGUUUACUCAAAACAUUUCUUGGUUAUUCAUAUUUUCUUUGUUUCCUUUUGUAUUCUAGAAAUAAAAAAUAAAUUUCUUUCAUUCUCUACUCUUGAUUGUACGUUGUAACCUUAACUAGUGCUGCUGUUUGCCAAAUUAAUGGUGGAUGAUACCUAGAUUAUUUUAUUAUCUUGGUAGGACAAUAACUAAUUGUGUUGAAUACCUAUAUCAAAUUAGUACCUUGAUUAUUAACCUUUGAUAUCAAGUUUCAAGUAAAGCUAACUUUUUGGUGCCCUUUUACUAGAUUUCAUAUAUGCUGUUUAAUUUUGGUGGCAUCUUGGCUAUAGUUAGAGAGAAUGUAUCAUAUAGACAGUCCAAAACAAAGAAAAGGUUGCCUUUUUUUUUUUUUUUUUCCUUUCUCUUGUCAUGCUAGCUAUGCUUGUGUUUUAAACUGCUUAAGACCAGUUACACUCUGCGAUAAUUUUUCAGUUUUCACUGUGUCGUUUCGUAAUCUAACAAAAAGUAUUGUAUGAGUGCCUUGAUUUUUAUAAAUUCCUGAUUUUUUGUUCAUUUAUUUAUUUUUUUCUGAGGCAGGCUGAUGUUACAAUGGUCUUGGAAGGUACUAUUGUUGGAAGCAGCUGUUGAUUUAAUUUCUAAUUUUUUUCCCAUGCAUUUUUUUUUAUUUAAAAUUGAUUGUGAUGUUUUUGUUUUUUCAGGAUAUGGAUGGGUGCUGACUGCUGAGACAUGUACUCAUAAGUUACAAGGACAUACUGGUGCCCUAACUUCUCUUUGUAUUAUCAAUGGAAAGGGUUCUAAUAAUGGUAAUAACAUCCGUGUGGCUACUGCUUUGAAGGAUCGAUUGCUCAGGCUUUGGCAGGUAAUUUAGACUGUGCUGCUCUAUGUUUUUUUUUAAAAAUUUUUUUUAUUGUAUUUGUAAACUAAAAAUUCGUAGAAACUUAGAAGGAAAAAGAAUUCUUGUUAAUUAUUUUUCUCUUUUCCUAAAAAGUUUGAUGCAGAAAAUGCCACAAAUAAUCCUGUAACCAUUACUGCAUCUAAAGUUUUACGAGAGCAUAGUGCAGCUGUUGAAUGUGUCUCAUCGCAGCAAUCUGGAAAUAUUGGUGUGUUCUGGUUCCUGGGACUCUACAAUUAAUCUGUGGCAGGCAAAUCUCUCUGAGGCUGAUGGUGAUCUUGCUUCUUUUAGAAAGAGGAAAAAGAGCGGUGUUGUAAAUGAGUCAUUAUCAGAGGUAAACAAUGUUUUUAGUGUAUCACAGUUGUGACUUUGUAUAGAAUGUUUUGGCAAUGGAUUUUUAAUUUUCAUCUUAUUGGGUAUUUUCUUUCUUCUUCAUGAUGCAUCGGUUAAUUAUCACUGCUUUAAGGAUUAGGAAUUUGUUGUUUUAUUAUAUAAUGGGUUUUGUUGCAGAAACUCAUUGGAUUAUUUGAAUCAUAGUGUUUCUUUUGACUUCCCUUUGAAGAACUUGAAAUAAUUGUAAGCGGGCUAAAAGACUAGAUUUUGAGAGGAUAUUACCUUGUCAUUUCGCUCCACAUCAAUCUUGAGUUCAAUGGGUUAAUUGGUGACCUCAACAUGUAGCUAUUAUUUAUUCUUUAUUUCAUCAUAUGGAAACUACUUGCCCCAUGCGUCGACUUUAUACAUUCCUAAAAAUAGUGUUAAUCUCAUUCAUUGAUAACUUGUAACCUAAAUUUUAGAACAUGGGUUAGGCAAUGAUCCAAUAUUUAGAUACUACUUUAGGACUUUAGGCAGGUUAUAAUGCUAUGUGAUCCGAUCCUAUAUUGAUUACGAAAUUGGAUGCUCUGAAUAGCACCUUGGUGAAUUGGGUAUGAAAUAUAUCAAAGUAUGUGCCUUUUCGGGCCCUAUUAAAGCUCACUGAAUGCUCUUUUCCUUCUCUUUAUGAUUUACUACUAACUAAAUGCUCUGCUCCUUCGCCUUAUUUUAUUCCCAAUUGAACUCUUACACCCAUAUAGUUUCGCUCUUUCUCUGCUGACUAUUUUGCAACUGGUAGUAUAUGCUUGUAUCCUUGUGUUCAAUGUUUGAAUUAUGAUGUUAAAUAUUUCAGUAGGUGCUUAUGAUUUUAGCAUCGGGCUCUCUAUAAGUCCAUAUUACUUGAGGUCUUUGAAUCCUCCAUGUCAUUGGAAACACUAAGCUUGCGGCAUCUAGUGUUCGUCUCAUCGUCGAUGGCUUGUUAAAUCCCUUAUUAAAUUAUACUAGAACACAACUUUAAAUAUUGUAGAACGAUGUAUGGGGUUGGCUUAAUCACCAUUUAAAGGUUUAUUUAUAAAUUUUAAAAUAUAUAUUCUUUUUUAUACCAUUUAUUGAUUUUCCUUGCCAAAAAGUUGGGGUUAGAUGGUGCAGGGGAAUGUUCUUAAUGUUUAGCUCAAGUCUCCCUUUGGGGUAAAGUUUCAUUUAUCUUCUGCUUCUGCUGGUACUCCCUCUUCUGUUACGAGAGACUUUUGUCAAUUACUUGAAAUUUAAUAUAAAGACAAUUUUAAGACCUUCUAUAAACCAUUGUGCUUUAGAAUUGUAGAAUCACUAGUGGCUGAAGCUCAGAUUAUUGAUUUGUAUAUGAUAGAUGAUUGUAGUAUGCAUAAGAUUAUAUUAAGACAAAUUUCAAUUGCAACGUGGCCAAGAAAAAAAUAGAAGUCUGACAUCUGUUGCAUGCUGAGAAAGAGGCAUACCUUGUUAUGGUAUUAGUUCAUUGGUUUAUGUGCAUUGAUGUUACCAACAAAAGAAUAUUUGCCUGUAAAAUAGCUGAAGUGCACAUUUUCAUAGUUUAUAUUGAUUUCAGGGUGAAGUUGUAUCUACACUGGUAGAACACACUAAUUAUGUAUUAUUCUUUGGACACUUGAUGAAACUAUCUACUGGGACCAUUCCAUCUGAAUUUGUGUUGUUGAAACAGGGAAUGCAACAUGGAGCAUUGUAUGUCACUGUUCUCUCUAUUACUCUAAAUACUUUAGUUUUCUGCAUUAUAUGUUUUGUUUUCUGAACUAUCUGUUAAUGGCUUUUUAGUUAACUCUCCAUUACAGUUCUCAGGCAAGGUUUUUAAUUGUAUUGAUGUUGGAGGAGAGGACAUGGAAAUUUUGCUAUUUUAUUUUUUGUCCUGGUGUUUCUAAUGGUGGAAAUUUAGCUAUUUUAUUAUUUGUCCUGGUGGAAAUUUAGCUCUGCUUUAGUACCAGCUGGUGGUUCUGAUGGCACAUUAAGGAUAUGGGAUCCUCACAGAGUAGGUUUAGUGCUUGUUCAAUUAUCUGUUCACGAAUCAUACUGUGUAUGUGUCCAUAUCUGUCUAAUUUUGCUGUCUUCUGAAGGGUAAUGAACAUAUCCUUUGUAUCGUUUUUUUUUUUAUUUUUUUAUUUAUUUAUUUUAUUCUUAUUUGACGUAUAGUUGAUAACUUGCUCAUUUGCCCUACAUUUGUCAUCGUAAAUUUGUUGAUGGAAGACUAAUUGUGAUUUAUUAUGCAUGGUUAGGGUAUUGAUUGUUAAAUGUUAGAAUCUACUCCAUAGCUUAUAAGACUCUUGCACUAUUAUUCAUAUAAUUUGGACUUAGAGUAGCUUUCAAUGGGAAAAUUGUCAUAUGCAAAAUACAUUAUUGUGUAGCAGUUUGGACUCUUCUGUCCUAGGAAAUUGUCAUAUGCAAAAUACAUCUUGUGGACUCUUUUGUCUUAGAAAAUCAGGAUAGUUGCUGGGUGCUUAUGCUUGAAAAGUUAUAGGUUCGUGUAAAAAAGCAGCGCUAAGCCGCUAAGAUUUUUGAAUGCGACAAGCUUUAUCAGUGUGCUUGCACCUGGUGGUAAGUAGGUCUUACCACCAGAAAAGGCUUCAGGUCAGAGGAAAAUCAGUCAAGAAUGCAAUGCAUAUAUUUAACUAAUAUUAUCUGGUGGGAACUGUGAGUAUCUGAGCUCUUGCAUAUUCAGCUGUAUUUAAGUUGUGGCCUCCUUUCAACUAUCUUAAUUCAUAGUUUGCUGAGCUGGUGGCUCUGCUGGAUUGUUUCUGUACCUGAUCUCAUCCCUUUCUCUUGGUCCUGCUGCAGGGAGAGUGAGGGGUGUUUACCUUGUAUAACAUUUUGUUCUAUUAUAUGGCCAAUCUAUUGUACUCAUUUCUUUUGUAUUUUGUGGCUUAGAUCCUUGCGCUUCUAAAUUUCUUUACCCUUUGAGGAUUUGUUGCUUGGUAGGGUGUGGGCAUGUGGCUUUCAGGUGUUGCUUGUAAAACUUAGGUAAGGGCGAAGACAUCCAUUGUUCAAAGUUCAUGAAUUCUAUUAAGUGGAAUGAUUAUGUCUUGGGUAAGGCUGUUUCACAAUUUAUUGUGAGACAUUAAGUCAUGGGAAAAAAUUUGGUAGGAAAUUGUUUAGAGACGCUCACUCAUUCUUAUUAGCGUUUACCGGGAGGCCUGGCAAUUCUUGAUAGUUAUGUCAACGAUCAGCAUUCGAUGAACAGAGGAUCUACUCAUUCGCUACUAGAGUUAAAUAGUGUUUAUUUUUUAUCUUUAAGAUCUUGGUAACUUCCAUUGUUUUAAAGGAAUAGAGGAGAUGCAAUCAGUCACCUUGCAUUUGUCCUACAUUAGUGUUCGUCUAAUAAUAGGGGAUGCCACAAAAUUCUUAUAUAUAUACAUUUUCCUAGAGUGAUUUUAUAUGUAUUUAAAUUUUUUCUCUUAUUUUGGUGAGUGUAUGGACGUAUGUCAUGUUUUUAGCCUUUACAAUGCAGUUGCAUCAGAUAAAGGAGAAUGUAAUGUUAUUUACUUUCAAACACUAAUUUAUUGGUACAUGUUGUGCAUUUAAAUCUUUGGUGCAUUUAUCAAGUACAUAAAAUUCUUGAACAAAAUAUUAUCUUGAGGUAUUCUCAUUAGGUUUGUCUGUGCUGCAGCAUGCGAGGUUGUUCCUGACCCAAAGAUUUGAGACAGCAACUCGGAAUGUGAUUGAUUGGAAGAUACAGAACGGUAUACUUCAGCCCUUACCCGCAAGUUCCUCACAAUACCUGGAACUACGUUGGGGAGGUAGUUCAGUCCGGAUCUGCUGUAACAAGGUUAAAAAUUGGUAACAAGGCCGUGGCUUUUCUUAGCUAUGGUGUAACUUUGUAAGUUGCUUGCUUCAAUCAGAAUGCUUUUUUCUUAACACUCUAUGAGUGAGGGGCAUGGCCAAUCUCAGUUACUUGCUAAUUUGGUCACUGAGUCCCAGUCUCAUAAGGCAAUUAAGUGAGCUUUCUGUGGAUAAAACCAAAGGAGAAUCUGACAGUUAUCUGACCAUCAGAAGUUUCAGCACCCAAAGGUGCAGCCUACCUGUUGCUGCCCUUAUUGCUUACCAAGCUCUCAUCCAGCUUGCAAACUUCAAGCUUGAUGGAAGUGGUGAACAUAUUGAUCACAGCUGCAUCAGGAGGAGUGGGCCACUAUGCAGUCCAACUAACCAGUUUGUAACGUCCUACAUGUGGAGCUCGUAAUCUAGAUUUUGAAAAAGGCUUAGGGGCCGAUGAGGUUCUCGACUAUAAGACUCAAGAAGGGGCCCUUAAUUUCAUUUUGAGAACAUCCUAUCUGUAGGGGCAGGGCUACAUUGAUUCUACUUUCAAUUUUUUAUUUUAUUUUAUCUUUUUUUUUAUGGUGUUUUAUUGUAUAUAGUGUGAAUAUUUUUGGUGGGUUUGUUUUAAGGAAAAUUUUUAUUUUCACACACAAAACACGCCUUUUUUGAAGUAACCACCUGUUAAUUUUUUUUAUUUAUUUUACCACCCCUUAAAUUAAAAAAGUAUUCAGAUUCCCACCUUUUUGAAAAUUCUGAUGAACUUUCCGUCACCUAACUUAUUUCCCUCCUUUUUUUUUGGGAAAUUCUCUCUGGUAACCACUAACUUUUAUUUUUACUCAGUGAUAAAGUCUGAA